rnacentral:rRNA from 1 species
ACGUGCCAGCAGCCGCGCUAAUACGUAGGGCGCAAGCGUUAUCCGGAAUUAUUGGGCGUAAAGAGCUCGUAGGCGGUUUGUCGCGUCUGCUGUGAAAUCCGGAGGCUCAACCUCCGGCCUGCAGUGCGUACGGGCAGACUAGAGUGCGCUAGGGGAGAUUGGAAUUCCUGGUGUAGCGCUGGAAUGCGCAGAUAUCAGGAGGAACACCGAUGGCGAAGGCAGAUCUCUGGGCCGUAACUGACGCUGAGGAGCGAAAGGGUGGGGAGCAAACAGGAUUAGCAUAC